rnacentral:rRNA from 1 species
GACGAACGCUGGCGGCGUGCUUAACACAUGCAAGUCGAACGGAAAGGCCCUGCUUUUGUGGGGUGCUCGAGUGGCGAACGGGUGAGUAACACGUGAGUAACCUGCCCUUGACUUUGGGAUAACUUCAGGAAACUGGGGCUAAUACCGGAUAGGAGCUCCUGCUGCAUGGUGGGGGUUGGAAAGUUUCGGCGGUUGGGGAUGGUCUCGCGGCUUAUGAGCUUGUUGGUGGGGUAGUGGCUUACCAAGGCUUUGACGGGUAGCCGGCCUGAGAGGGUGACCGGCCACAUUGGGACUGAGAUACGGCGCAGACUCCUACGGGAGGCAGCAGUGGGGAAUAUUGCGCAGUGGGCGGAAGCCUGAUGCAGCAACGCCGCGUGCGGGAUGACGGCCUUCGGGUUGUAAACCGCUUUCGCCUGUGACGAAGCGUGAGUGACGGUAAUGGGUAAAGAAGCACCGGCUAACUACGUG